UGAUCGUCCAUUGAUCGCCUUUUUCAAAUGGUGUUUGAUCAAAGUAGGGUUGGUCUCAUCUCAAAGGUUUCAUCAUGUUGAGUUCAAUGGUGUUAUCGGAUUAUCGAUCCAAUGCUUGGAUUGCCAGAAAUCUCAUUGAAAAACCACUAAAAUCCCAUUUUCUCUAUCAUCUUCCCCUUGCUAAAUCUCCUCCUUCCAACCACCAUAACACGCAAGGCUGGUAUAGAAAUAAAGCUGGGUUCACAAGGAGUCAA
rnacentral:misc_RNA from 1 species